UACGUAGGUGGCAAGCGUUGUCCGGAAUUAUUGGGCGUAAAGCGCGCGCAGGUGGUUCCUUAAGUCUGAUGUGAAAGCCCCCGGCUCAACCGGGGAGGGUCAUUGGAACCUGGGGAACUUGAGUGCAGGAGAGGAAAGUGGAAUUCCACGUGUAGCGGUGAAAUGCGUAGAUAUGUGGAGGAACACCAGUGGCGAAGGCGACUUUCUGGCCUGUAACUGACACUGAGGCGCGAAAGCGUGGGGAGCAAACAGG
rnacentral:rRNA from 1 species